rnacentral:misc_RNA from 1 species
UUUCCGUAGGUGAACCUGCGGAGGAUCAUUCAUAAUAAGUGUUUUAUGGCACUUUUUUAAAUCCAUAUCCACCUUGUGUGCAAUGUCAGGGUUGAUUUUUCUCUCGAGAGGAUCAGCCCCAAACAUCAACUAUAUCUCAACUCUUUGUCUGAAAAAUAUUAUGAAUAAAACAAUUCAAAAUACAACUUUCAACAACGGAUCUCUUGGCUCUC